UUUGAGAAUUGCCCAAUACAGUGGUCCAUGGCUGAUAUUGGGUGACUUUAAUAGUGUACUAGAGGUGGAUGACAGGAUCAAUGGGCAACCUGUACACCAAUCAAAGAUAGCUGAUUUCCAGAGCUGCAUUGAGGACAUUAGAGUAGGCAGAUUACCAAAAGAGGAAACAGAUUCUCUUGGAGUAAUAAGAGAGAUGAUGAGGACAGGAUUUAAUGCCAUAUUGACUGGACUUUUGGCAAUGAUGAAUGUUUCAAAUCCUAUACUGGUGUGGAAGCAAUAUACAUGCUGCCCGGAUGCUCAGAUCAUUCCCCCAUACUGCUAGACACUGAAGUUGUAAAGACCAGAGUGAACAGGCCAUACAGAUUACUCAAUUCAGUCAUGAAACAUCAAGAAUACAGGAUAGCAGUUCAUACAAUCUGGAACCAGCAGAUUCAAGGAUGUACUGGAUUACUCAAUUCAGUCAUAAAACAUCAAGAAUACAGGACAACAGUUCAUACAAUCUGGA
rnacentral:lncRNA from 1 species